rnacentral:rRNA from 1 species
UACGGAGGGGGCUAGCGUUGUUCGGAAUUACUGGGCGUAAAGCGCACGUAGGCGGAUUGUUAAGUCAGAGGUGAAAUCCCGGAGCUCAACUUCGGAACUGCCUUUGAUACUGGCAAUCUAGAGUCCGGAAGAGGUUAGUGGAAUUCCCAGUGUAGAGGUGAAAUUCGUAGAUAUUGGGAAGAACACCAGUGGCGAGGCGGCUAACUGGUCCGGUACUGACGCUGAGGUGCGAAAGCGUGGGGAGCAAACAGG